rnacentral:rRNA from 1 species
UUAAGCGACUAAGCGUACACGGUGGAUGCCCUGGCAGUCAGAGGCGAUGAAGGACGUGCUAAUCUGCGAUAAGCGUCGGUAAGGUGAUAUGAACCGUUAUAACCGGCGAUUUCCGAAUGGGGAAACCCAGUGUGUUUCGACACACUAUCAUUAACUGAAUCCAUAGGUUAAUGAGGCGAACCGGGGGAACUGAAACAUCUAAGUACCCCGAGGAAAAGAAAUCAACCGAGAUUCCCCCAGUAGCGGCGAGCGAACGGGGAGGAGCCCAGAGCCUGAAUCAGUGUGUGUGUUAGUGGAAGCGUCUGGAAAGGCGCGCGAUACAGGGUGACAGCCCCGUACACAAAAAUGCACAUACUGUGAGCUCGAUGAGUAGGGCGGGACACGUGGUAUCCUGUCUGAAUAUGGGGGGACCAUCCUCCAAGGCUAAAUACUCCUGACUGACCGAUAGUGAACCAGUACCGUGAGGGAAAGGCGAAAAGAACCCCGGCGAGGGGAGUGAAAAAGAACCUGAAACCGUGUACGUACAAGCAGUGGGAGCACGCUUCGGCGUGUGACUGCGUACCUUUUGUAUAAUGGGUCAGCGACUUAUAUUCUGUAGCAAGGUUAACCGAAUAGGGGAGCCGAAGGGAAACCGAGUCUUAACUGGGCGUUAAGUUGCAGGGUAUAGACCCGAAACCCGGUGAUCUAGCCAUGGGCAGGUUGAAGGUUGGGUAACACUAACUGGAGGACCGAACCGACUAAUGUUGAAAAAUUAGCGGAUGACUUGUGGCUGGGGGUGAAAGGCCAAUCAAACCGGGAGAUAGCUGGUUCUCCCCGAAAGCUAUUUAGGUAGCGCCUCGUGAAUUCAUCUCCGGGGGUAGAGCACUGUUUCGGCAAGGGGGUCAUCCCGACUUACCAACCCGAUGCAAACUGCGAAUACCGGAGAAUGUUAUCACGGGAGACACACGGCGGGUGCUAACGUCCGUCGUGAAGAGGGAAACAACCCAGACCGCCAGCUAAGGUCCCAAAGUCAUGGUUAAGUGGGAAACGAUGUGGGAAGGCCCAGACAGCCAGGAUGUUGGCCUAGAAGCAGCCAUCAUUUAAAGAAAGCGUAAUAGCUCACUGGUCGAGUCGGCCUGCGCGGAAGAUGUAACGGGGCUAAACCAUGCACCGAAGCUGCGGCAGCGACACUAUGUGUUGUUGGGUAGGGGAGCGUUCUGUAAGCCUGCGAAGGUGUACUGUGAGGUAUGCUGGAGGUAUCAGAAGUGCGAAUGCUGACAUAAGUAACGAUAAAGCGGGUGAAAAGCCCGCUCGCCGGAAGACCAAGGGUUCCUGUCCAACGUUAAUCGGGGCAGGGUGAGUCGACCCCUAAGGCGAGGCCGAAAGGCGUAGUCGAUGGGAAACAGGUUAAUAUUCCUGUACUUGGUGUUACUGCGAAGGGGGGACGGAGAAGGCUAUGUUGGCCGGGCGACGGUUGUCCCGGUUUAAGCGUGUAGGCUGGUUUUCCAGGCAAAUCCGGAAAAUCAAGGCUGAGGCGUGAUGACGAGGCACUACGGUGCUGAAGCAACAAAUGCCCUGCUUCCAGGAAAAGCCUCUAAGCAUCAGGUAACAUCAAAUCGUACCCCAAACCGACACAGGUGGUCAGGUAGAGAAUACCAAGGCGCUUGAGAGAACUCGGGUGAAGGAACUAGGCAAAAUGGUGCCGUAACUUCGGGAGAAGGCACGCUGAUAUGUAGGUGAAGUCCCUCGCGGAUGGAGCUGAAAUCAGUCGAAGAUACCAGCUGGCUGCAACUGUUUAUUAAAAACACAGCACUGUGCAAACACGAAAGUGGACGUAUACGGUGUGACGCCUGCCCGGUGCCGGAAGGUUAAUUGAUGGGGUUAGCGGUAACGCGAAGCUCUUGAUCGAAGCCCCGGUAAACGGCGGCCGUAACUAUAACGGUCCUAAGGUAGCGAAAUUCCUUGUCGGGUAAGUUCCGACCUGCACGAAUGGCGUAAUGAUGGCCAGGCUGUCUCCACCCGAGACUCAGUGAAAUUGAACUCGCUGUGAAGAUGCAGUGUACCCGCGGCAAGACGGAAAGACCCCGUGAACCUUUACUAUAGCUUGACACUGAACAUUGAGCCUUGAUGUGUAGGAUAGGUGGGAGGCUUUGAAGUGUGGACGCCAGUCUGCAUGGAGCCGACCUUGAAAUACCACCCUUUAAUGUUUGAUGUUCUAACGUUGGCCCCUGAUCGGGGUUGCGGACAGUGUCUGGUGGGUAGUUUGACUGGGGCGGUCUCCUCCUAAAGAGUAACGGAGGAGCACGAAGGUUGGCUAAUCCUGGUCGGACAUCAGGAGGUUAGUGCAAUGGCAUAAGCCAGCUUGACUGCGAGCGUGACGGCGCGAGCAGGUGCGAAAGCAGGUCAUAGUGAUCCGGUGGUUCUGAAUGGAAGGGCCAUCGCUCAACGGAUAAAAGGUACUCCGGGGAUAACAGGCUGAUACCGCCCAAGAGUUCAUAUCGACGGCGGUGUUUGGCACCUCGAUGUCGGCUCAUCACAUCCUGGGGCUGAAGUAGGUCCCAAGGGUAUGGCUGUUCGCCAUUUAAAGUGGUACGCGAGCUGGGUUUAGAACGUCGUGAGACAGUUCGGUCCCUAUCUGCCGUGGGCGCUGGAGAACUGAGGGGGGCUGCUCCUAGUACGAGAGGACCGGAGUGGACGCAUCACUGGUGUUCGGGUUGUCAUGCCAAUGGCACUGCCCGGUAGCUAAAUGCGGAAGAGAUAAGUGCUGAAAGCAUCUAAGCACGAAACUUGCCCCGAGAUGAGUUCUCCCUGACUCCUUGAGAGUCCUGAAGGAACGUUGAAGACGACGACGUUGAUAGGCCGGGUGUGUAAGCGCAGCGAUGCGUUGAGCUAACCGGUACUAAUGAACCGUGAGGCUUAACCUU